UACGUAGGGUGCAAGCGUUGUUCGGAUUCAUUGGGCGUAAAGGGUGCGUAGGCGGCGCGGUAAGUCGGAUGUGAAAGCCCCGGGCUCAACCUGGGAAUGGCAUUCGAGACUGUGCAGCUAGGAUGCGGAAGAGGGAAGCGGAAUUUACGGUGUAGCAGUGAAAUGCGUAGAUAUCGUAAGGAAGACCAGUGGCGAAAGGCGAGUCUCGUGGACAGCAACUGACGCUGAGGCACGAAGGCCAGGGGAGCAAACGGG
rnacentral:rRNA from 1 species